ensembl:lncRNA
GCUUCAUUAUGGCAUGAACGUCCAUUUUUCGUUGAUUGUCGCUCUAUUUAGUCCCACUGAACAUCCUGUUUCACACAGAAAUAUGCCACAUUACUAUGGAAACUUGGUUCCACUUGAAGUCAAACCAAAGAAUAAGGAGCCCUGGGUUAGUGCUUAACAUGCCUGCUCUGACACAUUGGACAAAGAUGCUCAUGUAAACAAGUCCCUGCACACAAACAGAAUAAGCACUUAGUGUUCCAGACAACCCAAUAGCUCAGCUCCUUCUAAUGAAAGGAAGCAGCAGGAACAAUUAGUUGUGCAAACAAACAGAUCAGAGCGCAAAGACCAGGAUCCACUAUCACUCCCCUGACGUCAUUGCCACUAACAGGCUUGAAUGAAGGUAAUUGGGGGAGCUGGAAGUUGAGACAAAAUCAAUGGAAACUCAGGCAUACUAGUGGGGAGAUUACUCACCGGUUCACACCAUCACUCUGGGGACUCAAAGACUGCCAGGAACGUGAAGCAGGACUAUAUACCAGAACUGCAGAACAGGACAGAGACUCAUGAACAGGACUGUGAAACAGGAUUGCGGGAAAGGAUUAUGGAAGACUGUGGAAUACGGUUAAUGAGUUAAUGAGAAAAAGAAAAAAAAAACUCUGAACAAGACGUUGCUAAUUUAUCAUUUUGUUAAUGCUUUUAUCCCAAGCAACUCUCGGUAUACUUAUUACAGGGACAAUCCCCCUGGAGAAACAUGAGGUUAAGUGUCUUGCUCAAGGGCGCAAUGGGGAUAGUCCAUGGGUCACCUCCUGCCGGGUUUGAACCUACAUCCUUUCACUUACCAGUUCUUUAACCGC